CCUACGGGAGGCAGCAGUCGGGAAUAUUGCGCAAUGGAGGAAACUCUGACGCAGUGACGCCGCGUAUAGGAAGAAGGUCUUCGGAUUGUAAACUAUUGUCGUUAGGGAAGAAAAAGGACAGUACCUAAGGAGGAAGCUCCGGCUAACUACGUGCCAGCAGCCGCGGUAAUACGUAGGGAGCAAGCGUUAUCCGGAUUUAUUGGGUGGAAAGGGGGCGUAGACGGGAAUUUAAGUUAGGUGUGAAAUCCCUCGGCUCAACUGGGGAACUUCAACUAAAAACUGAUUUAUGUAGGGCCUGAGAGGAAAGCGGAAUUCCUAGUGUAGCGGUGAAAUGCGUAGAUAUUAGGAGGAACACCAGUGGCGAAGGCGGCUUUCUGGACAGUAACUGACGUUGAGGCACGAAAGUGUGGGGAGCAAACAGGAUUAGAUACCCGGGUAGUC
rnacentral:rRNA from 1 species